UACGAAGGGUGCAAGCGUUACUCGGAAUUACUGGGCGUAAAGCGUGCGUAGGUGGUUUGUUAAGUCCGAUGUGAAAGCCCUGGGCUCAACCUGGGAAUGGCAUUGGAAACUGGCGGGCUAGAGUGCGGUAGAGGGUAGUGGAAUUCCCGGUGUAGCAGUGAAAUGCGUAGAGAUCGGGAGGAACACCAGUGGCGAAGGCGGCUACCGGGACCAGCAAUGACAUUGAGGCACGAAAGCGUGGGGAGCAAACAGG
rnacentral:rRNA from 1 species